CUCAACGGUGGCUGUGCGCAUGGCGUCCUCGGACGCGCCGGAUUUGGUGGGUUCUCCGGUCUACUAACUUGCGCACAGCCGCCACCCUU
rnacentral:antisense_RNA from 2 species